rnacentral:rRNA from 1 species
CCUACGGGAGGCAGCAGUGGGGAAUAUUGCGCAAUGGGCGAAAGCCUGACGCAGCGACGCCGCGUGAGGGAUGAAGGUCUUCGGAUCGUAAACCUCUGUCAGCAGGGAAGAACGGUCACUUUGCUAAUCAGCAGUGAAUUGACGGUACCUGCAAAGGAAGCACCGGCUAACUCCGUGCCAGCAGCCGCGGUAAUACGGAGGGUGCGAGCGUUAAUCGGAAUUACUGGGCGUAAAGCGCUCGUAGGCGGUAUGUCAAGUCAAGGGUGAAAUCCCCGCGCUCAACGUGGGAACUGCCUUUGAAACGGGGAAACGGGAGUGUGGGAGAGGAUAGUGGAAUUCCAGGUGUAGGAGUGAAAUCCGUAGAUAUCUGGAGGAACAUCAGUGGCGAAGGCGACUAUCUGGCACAUAACUGACGCUGAGGAGCGAAAGCGUGGGUAGCAAACAGGAUUAGAUACCCGAGUAGUC